rnacentral:rRNA from 1 species
CGGGACGGGUGAGUAAUGUCUGGGGAAACUGCCUGAUGGGGGGGGAUAACUACUGGAAACGGUAGCUAAUACCGCAUAACGUCGCAAGACCAAAGAGGGGGACCUUCGGGCCUCUUGCCAUCGGAUGUGCCCAGAUGGGAUUAGCUAGUAGGUGGGGUAACGGCUCACCUAGGCGACGAUCCCUAGCUGGUCUGAGAGGAUGACCAGCCACACUGGAACUGAGACACGGUCCAG